rnacentral:rRNA from 1 species
CCUACGGGAGGCAGCAGUGGGGAAUAUUGCACAAUGGGGGAAACCCUGAUGCAGCGACGCCGCGUGCGUGAAGAAGUAUUUCGGUAUGUAAAGCUCUAUCAGCAGGAACGAGACAAGACGGUACCUGACUAAGAAGCCCCGGCUAACUACGUGCCAGCAGCCGCGGUAAUACGGAGGGGGCAAGCGUUAUCCGGAAGCACUGGGUGUAAAGGGAGCGUAGACGGCUGUGCAAGCCUGAAGUGAAAGGCGGGGGCCCAACCCCUGGACUGCUUUGGGAACUGUACGGCUGGAGGGCGGGAGAGGUAGGUGGAAUUCCUAGUGUAGCGGUGAAAUGCGUAGAUAUUAGGAGGAACACCAGUGGCGAAGGCGGCUUACUGGACUGUAACUGACGUUGAGGCUCGAAAGCGUGGGGAGCAAACAGGAUUAGAUACCCCGGUAGUC